rnacentral:misc_RNA from 1 species
UACGUGAGGGGCAAACGUUGUUCGGUGUCACUGGGCUUAAAGAGCGCGUAGGCGGUUAGGCAAGUAAGGUGUGAAAGCCCACGGCUCACCCGUGGAAUUGCGCCUUAUACUGCUUGACUUGAGGGCCAGAGGGGUAGGAGGAACUCUAGGUGUAGCGGUGAAAUGCGCAGAUAUCUAGAGGAAGGCCGAUGGCGAAGGCAUCCUACUGGCUGGUUUCUGACGCUGAGGCGCGAAAGCGUGGGUAGCGAACAGG